rnacentral:rRNA from 1 species
AGUGAACGCUGGCGGUAGGCCUAACACAUGCAAGUCGAACGGCAGCACAGUAAGAGCUUGCUCUUACGGGUGGCGAGUGGCGGACGGGUGAGGAAUACAUCGGAAUCUACUUUUUCGUGGGGGAUAACGUAGGGAAACUUACGCUAAUACCGCAUACGACCUACGGGUGAAAGCAGGGGAUCUUCGGACCUUGCGCGAUUGAUUAGCCGAUGUCGGGUUUGCCAGGUGGCGGGGGAAAGGCCCACCAAGGCGACGAUCCGUAGCUGGGUUGAGGGGAGGAUCAGCCACACUGGAACUGAGACACGGGCCAGACUCCUACGGGGGGCAGCAGUGGGGAAUAGUGGACAAUGGGCGCAAGCCUGAUCCAGCCAUACCGCGUGGGGGAAGAAGGCCUUCGGGUUGUAAAGCCCUUUUGUUGGGAAAGAAAAGCAGCAGGUUAAUACCCCGCUGUUCUGACGGUACCCAAAGAAUAAGCACCGGCUAACUUCGUG